UACGAAGGGGCUAGCGUUGCUCGGAAUCACUGGGCGUAAAGCGCACGUAGGCGGGUCGUUAAGUCGGGGUGAAAUCCUGGAGCUCAACUCCAGAACUGCCUUCGAUACUGGCGAUCUUGAGUCUGGGAGAGGUGAGUGGAACUCCGAGUGUAGAGGUGAAAUUCGUAGAUAUUCGGAAGAACACCAGUGGCGAAGGCGGCUCACUGGCCCGGUACUGACGCUGAGGUGCGAAAGCGUGGGAGCAACAGG
rnacentral:rRNA from 1 species